UCCGGUCCCUCCCGAACCUGAAGCAGGCGGCUCUCUUCGGGCUGAAAUCCGGCGGGCGCAGGGGCGGAGCGACGUGCAUGGCGACGUACAAGGUGAAGCUGCUAACUCCGGAGGGAGAGGUGGAGUUCGAUUGCGCCGACGACGUGUACAUCGUGGACCAGGCGGAGGAGGCCGGGAUAGAUCUGCCCUACUCGUGCCGCGCGGGGUCGUGCUCCUCGUGCGCCGGCAAGGUCGUCAGCGGCAGCGUCGACCAGUCCGACGGCAGCUUCCUCGACGACGAGCAGAUGGACUCCGGCUGGGUGCUCACCUGCGUCGCCUACCCAACCUCCGACGUCGUCAUCGAGACUCACAAGGAGGAGGAGAUCGCCUAAUUCAUCAUUUCAUUUCUCUCUCUCUCUCUCUCUCACAUGAGUCACGGACUGAUUUCAUAAUAAGUAAGAUACAAUUUGUUUUGUUGUAUAAUUUUGAUUUAAACGUCUUUGCAACUCCACUUGUUUCUCAUAUAUGUCUUCUCUCUCUCUUCUUUUCGUGUCUAUUUCUUUACUGUUAGCUGACGAUGUUUAGUUCUAAAGAUAUCCAUCCGUCUCAAGUUGUUAAAUUAUCUUCAUGGAUUCAUGGCGUUCAACUUCGCUUUAAAUCUUAAUUAAGAUCUAUAUUGUUUCAUAUUUUUAUAUGCUGCGUAUAU
rnacentral:lncRNA from 1 species